GACGAACGCUGGCGGCGUGCUUAACACAUGCAAGUCGAACGGUAAGGCCCUUCGGGGUACACGAGUGGCGAACGGGUGAGUAACACGUGGGUGAUCUGCCCUGCACUUCGGGAUAAGCCUGGGAAACUGGGUCUAAUACCGGAUAGGACUCCGGACUGCAUGGUCUGGGAUGGAAAGCUUUUGCGGUGUGGGAUGGGCCCGCGGCCUAUCAGCUUGUUGGUGGGGUGAUGGCCUACCAAGGCGACGACGGGUAGCCGGCCUGAGAGGGUAACCGGCCACCCGGGGACUGAGAUACGGCCCAGACUCCUACGGGAGGCAGCGGUGGGGAAUAUUGCACAAUGGGCGCAAGCCUGAUGCAGCGACGCCGCGUGAGGGAUGACGGCCUUCGGGUUGUAAACCUCUUUCAGCAUCGACGAAGCGCAAGUGACGGUAGGUGCAGAAGAAGGACCGGCCAACUACGUGCCAGCAGCCGCCGUAA
rnacentral:rRNA from 1 species